rnacentral:rRNA from 1 species
CAGCAGCCACGGGAAUACGAAGGGUGCAAGCGUUACUCGGAAUUACUGGGCGUAAAGCGUGCGUAGGUGGUGGUUUAAGUCCGUUGUGAAAGCCCUGGGCUCAACCUGGGAAUUGCAGUGGAUACUGGGUCACUAGAGUGUGGUAGAGGAUAGUGGAAUUUCCGGUGUAGCAGUGAAAUGCGUAGAGAUCGGAAGGAACAUCUGUGGCGAAGGCGACUAUCUGGGCCAACACUGACACUGAGGCACGAAAGCGUGGGGAGCAAACAGGAUUAGAGACCCGUGUAGUCCCUGUCUCUUAUAC